UUAAGUUCAGCGGGUAUCCCUACCUGAUCCGAGGUCAACCUGAAAAAAAUUGGGGGUUGAUGGCAAGCACACGACCGGACCUCCAGAGCGAGAAGAAUUACUACGCUCGGAGCCGGACGGCACCGCCACUGACUUUAGGGCCCCGCCGGGGGCGGCGGGGCCCAACACCAAGCUGAGCUUGAGGGUUGUAAUGACGCUCG
rnacentral:misc_RNA from 1 species